UCUCACUGGUAACACUGGGGAUGUUGUCUGUAUAUGCUAAAUAAACCAAUGUUUCUUCCCAUAUCUUGGCCUUUUGAUUUCAGAGUCAGUCCAUACUUGGAGACCACAGAGGAUGAAACCCAGAGGAAUGGCCAUCCUCUCAAACUUUGCUAGCCUUGGACUUUCAUUAAUGCUAAUGGCUGAGUGUGGGAAGGAAGAUCUGCUGAGGCAAGAAUUUUAAAGACAGUUGGAGAACAAGAUUAGAAGGUGGGGGUAUAGAGCAAGACAAGGUAAUGGCAGUGUCUUGAGUUAUAACACCAAGGAGGGAAUAAAUGCUCUAAAGGAAAUAAUCAAGUGUUAAGGAAGGGGAUGCUCACUGCUGUUCACCACCCAACUAGUUUGAAGAAAAUGACAGACAUGUGCCAGGGACCAACUGAGAGCCCCACUGCAUUUAUCAAGCACCUCAUGAAGGCUUACUGAGCCUAUACCCCUUUCAACCCAUAGGCACCUGAGGAUAGCCAUACUAUUAAUAUGGCUUUUGUUGCUCAGUCACUCCUUGAUAUAUGCUGUAAUUUACAAUAAUUAAAAGGAUUUGUAUGAAUGGGUUUGUAUCAGCUGAUUGAGAUUGCCCAGAGGGGUAUCAAAAUAGACAUGAUGCAGAAUAGAGACUGAAGCAGGAAAAGAGAAGGAUGGUGCGGGCAGCUGACCAGAAAGAGGCUCAGUCAAGAGGGAAAGGA